CCACAACUUAAAUGUGGAUGUACUUGCUUUGUCCCUGAAUAGUAAGUGCUUCCAUGUUUUAGUGAUGG
rfam:Cariama cristata contig96, whole genome shotgun sequence.